GGAAUAUUGGACAAUGGGCGCAAGCCUGAUCCAGCCAUGCCGCGUGUGUGAAGAAGGCCUUCGGGUUGUAAAGCACUUUUGUACGGGAAGAAACACGGCCGGUGAAUACCAGGCCGGACUGACGGUAACGUAAGAAUAAGCACCGGCUAACUUCGUGCCAGCCGCCGCGGUAAUACGAAGGGUGCAAGCGUUACUCGGAAUUCCUGGGCGUAAAGCGUGCGCAGGUGGUGCGUUAAGUCCGAUGUGAAAGCCCUGGGCUCAACCUGGGAAUGGCAUUGGAUACUGGCGCGCUCGAGUACGGUAGAGGGUGGCGGAAUUCCCGGUGUAGCAGUGAAAUGCGUAGAGAUCGGGAGGAACAUCCGUGGCGAAGGCGGCCACCUGGACCAGUACUGACACUGAGGCACGAAAGCGUGGGGAGCAAAC
rnacentral:rRNA from 1 species